rnacentral:rRNA from 1 species
UGAGUAACCUGCCCUUCACUCUGGGAUAACUCCGGGAAACCGGGGCUAAUACUGGAUAUGACUCGAACAGGCAUCUGUUUCGGGUGGAAAGAUUUAUUGGUGGAGGAUGGACUCGCGGCCUAUCAGCUUGUUGGUGAGGUAAUGGCUCACCAAGGCGACGACGGGUAGCCGGCCUGAGAGGGUGAUCGGCCACAUUGGAACUGAGACACGGUCCAGACUCCGUACGGGAGCA